rnacentral:lncRNA from 1 species
AAAGCAGCAGACAUGUUGAUGGGGAGUUAUCAAUGAAAAAUGACAUCUUGUUAAGUUAGGAAUUCUCUUUGUGUUAGCAAGGUUUCUCUAGUUAAUACCACACCUUUCUUCAUCUGCCCUGCUGUAAUUGGAAUGCACAGUGAAAAUGUCUGUCUUAUUUCAGCCCAGAAAAGAACAAUGAAAGAAAUGGAAAGCACACCAGGCGAUAGGCUUUCUAAUCAAUGUUGUAACUCAGUGUUCAAAAGUAGGCUUGUACUUUUUAAUGAGGACAGAGGGAUUUGUAACUCCCAGCUUCUCUACCAAAGGAGAUUAUAGGUCCAAUUUAUGAGACUUUCACUUCAACUGUGGAGAGAAACUCAUGUCUUUGUUAUGGGAGGACUGUUUGUUGUUUCUGUUGUUCUCAGACAAAACUCUUCUAAACAUGAGGAUGUGUCUACAGUGUUAGACUCCAAGCUACCUCCCAUAUCUAGGAUAGUAUAUUAUCUGAGAGAUGAGGCAAGGGCUACAGUCAUUUGAUAGAGGAUGUGUGCCUGUAUCAAUGAGAGAGAGAGAGAGAGAGAGAGAGAGAGAGAGAGAGAAAUAGGUAGAUUGAGAGAGAGAGAGAGAGAGAGAGAGAGAGAGAGAGAGAGAGAGAUUGAGAGAGAAAUAGGUAGAUUGAGAGAGAGAAAUAGGUAGAUUGAGAGAGAGAAAUAGGUAGAUUGAGAGAGAGAAAUAGGUAGAUUGAGAGAGAGGAAGGAAGAGAGAGAAGAGAAGAAGAGAAAGAACAUCUGUGUGUGUGUGUUUAUUUUAAGUGUGUGUGUGUGUGUGUAUGUAUGCGUGUGUGUGUGUGUGUGUGUGUGUGACCCAUCAUGUUUCCCCACACAGUGUCAUGAAGCAGGCGGCAGUGUAAGAGGUCAGGUCAGACGUGGCAGUGACCUCCCCAUCACCGAGGCACCAUGUCACCUUCCGGGCAGGCCAAACAAACAGGACACACAUACACACACAAACGCACACACACACAAACACACACACUCCGCACACACACCACACACACCACAACACACACACACACACACACACACACACACACACACACACACACACACACACACACACACACACACACACACACACACACAUACACUGGCCUCCGGCAAGCCGGCUCUACAGGGUGGCCCUGCCAGGUCACGCUACCCCUAUCUCCCUCCCUCCUCCAUAGUCUGAUUGAUGCUGCUCAUUAUUUUAACCCCAGAAACAGAGGACAAUUACAAACACAGAGAUGAGGGGAUGAGGGGAGAGGUUAUUCAUCCAUGCCCAGAGGACAGAGAGAACUGGGCGAGGGGUAAAAGGAGGAGAGAUGAGAUGAACUAUGUGUCUGUGUUUACAACAGAGGGGUUGUAUCCUGUAGCUACACCAGGUCACAUAUAACUGUCACAACCAGCAACUCCUAUCUAAUGGAUGUGGCUCUGGCCUGUGACUAAUGUCACUUGUCUAAUGUUCUGUCACAUGGUAGCUGUGUCGCUACCUCAUAAUGAAAAAGUAGACUGUUGUAUAGUGACACUUCCUGACAUUUCCAUUCCUUCAACUAUAAGACCUGUACCCUUCUGAUCCCAAGAGCCAACAUUACACACUAAGAGACACUUCCAUUGUGCUCUAGCUAGAAGUUUGAAGAGCCAUAGUGUUUCAUAAUGAAAUGGUGAAACUGUGUAGCGCAGUGCCCCAAAAUUAAACCCUGCCUGUUCUGAAAAACAGGAGGACUGAGGGUUCACAACCAAAUACUGUUUUAAUGUGUUUUUUAUUCUCCCCAUAUUUUCUCUGAUUGUUUUGGAAAAUUUAAACAGACUGUGAAGGAAUGAGGGGUGUAUGUCAUCUCAGCUCACUGAACUACCUAUAUUUACCGCUGAAAGUGAAUUCUUUAUGAGACUACGAAUAUCAAAGACAGGAGGAUCAAAGUGGAUUUAAUAAGCCAGCUAGUGUUCUUGGAAAACCUGGACUUUCAUCUAGUGCAUUUUCCUUGGUUUCUUCAGUUUGGGAUUAUGCCAAGGAUCGACACUAAAGGCAAAACAUCUGUAGUCACAUUGGCAUCACGUAUUUUUAAUUUGUUAGUCUGUUACACCUUUGUAGCUGGAAAAUGUCCCAGCAGCUAACAAGUUGCCUCUUCGACUGUCUAUCUCAGUUUUUCUACUCCCCAAUGAAAUGUGGUUGUCAUUUAAAAGGAGUGUCUCUUCUCUUCACAUUACACUUCUGUUGGCACAUGUUAGCUUUGUUUUCCCCAACUGCCUGGGAUGUUAAUGGAGUCUAUGAUCUGGAGAGGAUAGGAGCAGAGAGGGAGAGAGACACUGCAGGACUGGCAGGCAGUAGUGCACGUCAGGAGUGGACGUCUCAUGUCCCCUGCAGACAAACAGUAAACACAGGCUGGUUCUGUUUGAAGAAACUGCUACUUUCUCCAGUUGUUAUGGGGCUGUUUUAAAUGGGACAGUUCACCCUCUGCUUAGCCAUGCUGGAGAAGAUUUGACACCUAAUAGAGCUCUAUUAAAACUAGAAAUGCCACAUGGGGAAUGAUUACUUUUUGUAAUCUCUAUCUGAAAAGUACACUGCCACUAGCUGAAACCGAUCAAACAAAAAUACUGAGGCAGGAAAUUCGUUUUUGUGCUUCAUCCAUCGAUGUUCC